rnacentral:rRNA from 1 species
GGCGAGUGAAGCGGCAAAAGCAUCAAAUUUGAAAUCUGGUACCUUCGGUGCCCGAGUUGUAAUUUGGAGAGGGCAACUUUGGGGCCGUUCCUUGUCUAUGUUCCUUGGAACAGGACGUCAUAGAGGGUGAGAAUCCCGUGUGGCGAGGAGUGCGGUUCUUUGUAAAGUGCCUUCGAAGAGUCGAGUUGUUUGGGAAUGCAGCUCUAAGUGGGUGGUAAAUUCCAUCUAAAGCUAAAUAUUGGCGAGAGACCGAUAGCGAACAAGUACAGUGAUGGAAAGAUGAAAAGAACUUUGAAAAGAGAGUGAAAAAGUACGUGAAAUUGUUGAAAGGGAAGGGCAUUUGAUCAGACAUGGUGUUUUGUGCCCUCUGCUCCUUGUGGGUAGGGGAAUCUCGCAUUUCACUGGGCCAGCAUCAGUUUUGGUGGCAGGAUAAAUCCAUAGGAAUGUAGCUUGCCUCGGUAAGUAUUAUAGCCUGUGGGAAUACUGCCAGCUGGGACUGAGGACUGCGACGUAAGUC